rnacentral:tRNA from 1 species
ACCCAGCUGGCUUAGUUGGUAGAGCAGGCAACUCUUGAUCUCAGAGGUGUGAGUUCAAGCCCCAUGUUGGGUA